GUCUACGGCCACACCACCCUGAACGUGCCCGAUCUCGUCUGAUCUCGGAAGCUAAGCAGGGUCAGGCCUGGUUAGCACCUGGAUGGGAGAAAGUACAGUGAGAUGAGAUGUACAUACAGUGGUGGCCU
rnacentral:rRNA from 1 species